UGGGGAAUAUUGCACAAUGGGGGGAAACCCUGAUGCAGCAACGCCGCGUGAGUGAUGACGGCCUGGUUGUAAGCUCUGUCUUCAGGGACGGAUAAUGACGGUACC
rnacentral:rRNA from 1 species